rnacentral:rRNA from 1 species
AACGAACGCUGGCGGCAGGCUUAACACAUGCAAGUCGAGCGCCUCGCAAGGGGGAGCGGCAGACGGGUGAGUAACGCGUGGGAAACUACCCUUUGGUACGGAAUAACACAGAGAAAUUUGUGCUAAUACCGUAUGUGCCCUUCGGGGGAAAGAUUUAUCGCCAUAGGAUGUGCCCGCGUAGGAUUAGCUAGUUGGUGUGGUAAUGGCGCACCAAGGCGACGAUCCUUAGCUGGUCUGAGAGGAUGAUCAGCCACACUGGGACUGAGACACGGCCCAGACUCCUACGGGAGGCAGCAGUGGGGAAUUUUGGACAAUGGGCGAAAGCCUGAUCCAGCCAUGCCGCGUGCAGGAAGAAGGCCUUCGGGUUGUAAACUGCUUUAGUCUAGGAAAAAAGGGGUGCGAGGUUAAUACCCUCGUGCUUUGAUGGUACUGGAAGAAUAAGCACCGGCUAACUACGUG